GGUGUUUUCCAGUAAGACUCUGGGUAGGAGGUGUGCACAGGUGACGACCAUCCCCGACUCCAUCCCGGAGGAGGAAGAGCCAUCUACGCUUACACUUUGUGUGCCUGCGGACAAGGAGAGCCUAUGAAGAUAUCUUCCCAGGCCAGGCGCGUAAGAUUGCUUUAGAGAAGAAUUCGCCGCCGCCCAUUACCAUGGACUUGAAAUGACUGUCAUCAAGUCGUGCACAGGACUAGACGAAGCAGUGACAGAAGCAGAGAAAGAGCACCCAGGUGAAAAGGCAGGUUUACAGUAACCACCGGCCGCCGGCAAACGUAAGUGAGUUUCUCUUUCGGGUGGAAGAAAACGUGCACGAAAACACAGCCACGUGCCGCCUCAGGUGCGCGCUGCCGGGGGACGAUGCGCUCCCGCGUUGGAAGCAAACAUGCAACGUGCCACCCUCCUUUCCCUCUUCGAGAGGAUUUCACAGGAAGAUGAACUCAGCCCCCUGACAGAACCCAAGAGCCAUGCUCUAGUCGUGGAACGAGAGGCGUGUUGAGAAGACCCUUUUCCUCAGGAAACUGGCUUGCUGGGCUCUGAGAACCAUCCCAUCUAGACUCCGGUGGGCACAAGACGCUUCCUGAUUAGGACUCAGCCAUGCUGCCUGGGAAUUCUUCUCCUGGACCCUUGGCUCCACCCUCUGGAUCAUCCAUCCUGUUAAGAAAAAUUUUCUCUUACUUGCAGCUGAAGACAGUCUUCUAAGCUGACCUCCUCCCCGUAGUCUGGAAGGUUCCAGGCCCUCUCUUCAUUUUCAUUUUCUUUUCAUUUUCCCAGGGCCUCUAUCCCUUUAGUUCAAGAUGUCCAUGUCGCACCACCCUGCUCUUUAAAAACCUGUGAUUCCGUGAACAUUGUUGGACUUCACUCCUUUACAUUGGGAGUUGGCAAGCUGUGAUCCGUGGGACAGAUCUGGCCAGCUACCUGUUUGUAUAAAGUUUUAUUGGAACACGGCCACACGUCUCUUUUCACGUUAUCUGCGGCUGCUUUCCUGCUACAACAGCAGACUGGAGUAGCUUCAACAGAAACUGUACGGGCCACAAAGCUGGAAAUAUUUACCAUGUGUAAUGAAGAAAAAGUUGGCCACCUCUGUAUUAAACAAAGCCACAUUCACAAAUCUCAUGAAAAUAAGCCUUGUUUACUGUGUAAACCUUGUUUACUGCGGCUUCCAAGUGAGCUGUUGUAGCAUCACGCCCUUAAGAACUGUGGAUGGUGGACGGGGCGUGCAGGGCAAGUCCUUAAGAUGCUCAGGCUUUUCUGUUUAGAUACUGCCUUCAUUCCCUUUGAAGUGCCAACUGCAGAUUCUAUAGUCAUGCCUCUGGCUUCAGCUUGAGACCACAUUUUCUGACAGUGCUCUGCAUUUAAUUCUUGCCUGAAAGUCAUUUCUUAUCUUCAGCAUCGAUUUUCAUCUGGAGCAGCUGGGAAUAAUAAACAGCUUGUCCUUCAA